ensembl:snRNA U4 U4 spliceosomal RNA
AGCUUUGCCCAGUGACAGUAUCAUAGCCAAUUAGGUUCAUCCAAGGGGCGAUUAUUGCUAAUUGAAAACUUUACCCAAAAAACAUUUAAACAGCUUUAAAAAAAAUAAUUCAUUAUGGAAUUUAAGAUACAAAAUU